AGAUGUAUACACAGUUUACACAACUACACUGUGAAACACAUACUUAUUGAAAGCAUUUAAACAAUUUUACUCUCCUGUUUACCACUGAAUUUAUAGUGCCACUGUGAAAGAGUCAUUUUCAUCGGCUCAGGAGGUUUUAAUUAGGGUUCAAUUGUGCUUUGAAAUUACAGGUGUUAAAUGAUUUCCGUCACCCAUUAUUUAUACAGAUGAUUUUUGUGAGUUUGUGUGAAAAACGUUCUUGUGAUGGUAGCGAGAUAUGAGAACAGAGGAAACCACGAGGCCAUUCUCAUUACCUCGUGAUUGGCUGAUGUUGUUCAUAAUUCAUCAAUCUCCUGGAGGACAGAUGUAGACAUGGCACUGUCUGGAAUGAUAGCAUUUGGGUUGCUGGUACUCUCCAUAGAUCGUUUCAAUGGACAACCCGAGCAUUUAUCAUCGCUGGUGAUUAAGGCAAGGGGUAGAACUCUUCGAAUCCAAUGUCGGGCGGAUUCCUCGACGCACGUCAUUCAUUGGUACAGACUCAAAGAUCAAGCUUUCCAAAGAUUAAUGUACUUCGAAGCAGGAUCGAAAACAGCCAAAAACGAUCCUGGUGUCCUCAGUAGAUAUUCUGGAUCAGCGGAUAAACUAGUGACAUUAACUAUCUCAACAAUGGAUGACAGUGAUGCUGGCAUGUAUUACUGCGCGUACUGGAGUGCAGACAACACAGUGCUAGCUGUGAGAGGAAAUCAUUACAAAAACCUGCGUUCAUCAUCAAAACUGUUGCUAGAACAACUUCAGCGAAAAAAAGAAGAGUCUCUCUGCAUCGUUUAAUCGUGGUGUUGCUCAAUAUUUAAGUAACACAUUUUAAAUAAUAAAUGUUUAAAAUGUGUACAGCGUCCCAGAAGAGCUAUAAUAAACACAAUAUUUACUAGAUACUGUUUUAUAGGUCUACACAUUGACUGUUAACAAUAAAACGGUAAUUCAUAUCCUGAUUUGUAUUGCAAUUAAAAGAAUGUUGUUUCCCUUUUUUCGGUAGCUAUAUGAAGCUCACAUUACCAAUACUUG